AUUGAACGCUGGCGGCAUGCCUUACACAUGCAAGUCGAACGGCAGCACGGGAGCAAUCCUGGUGGCGAGUGGCGAACGGGUGAGUAAUAUAUCGGAACGUGCCCGGUCGUGGGGAUAACGUAGCGAAAGCUACGCUAAUACCGCAUACGAUCUACGGAUGAAAGCGGGGGAUCGCAAGACCUCGCGCGAUUGGAGCGGCCGAUAUCAGAUUAGGUAGUUGGUGAGGUAAAGGCUCACCAAGCCGACGAUCUGUAGCUGGUCUGAGAGGACGACCAGCCACACUGGGGCUGAGACACGGCCCAGACUCCUACGGGAGGCAGCAGUGGGAAUUUUGGACAAUGGGCGCAAGCCUGAUCCAGCAAUGCCGCGUGCAGGAUGAAGGCCUUCGGGUUGUAACUAGCCUUUGUACGGAACGAACGGU
rnacentral:rRNA from 1 species